rnacentral:rRNA from 1 species
UGAAAUCUCACCAGGCCCGGACACUGGAAGGAUUGACAGAUUGAUAGCUCUUUCUUGAUUCGGUGCGUGGUGGUGCAUGGCCGUUCUUAGUUGGUGGAGCGAUCUGUCUGGUUAAUUCCGAUAACGAACGAGACCCCAACCUGCUAACUAGCCCUCGGGUCCUGCUUCUGUUGGGCCCGACGGAAUGAUUCGCUUCUUAGAGGGACUCGCGGCGCCUAGCCGCACGAAGGGGGGCGAUAA